rnacentral:rRNA from 1 species
CGAAGGAGGUGGCCCGGGUCGGUGUCGGCGCCGUCCGGGACGGGCCACGGGCCCGCUUCCAAGUGCAUCUGCGCGCCGGCCACCCACGCCGGGUCCUUCAAGUGCCGCUUCUACCGCACCAACUCCCAGGGUCACGGCCAGGGCCAGGGAAGCCGCCCUUCUUCGCCCCCUUCACCGGCCGCGGCACCCGGCCUCGCCGUCCUCGUCCUCCGGCACCGUCGCGACCCAGUGACGCAGCCCAAGCAUCGGCCUCGAGAAUCAAGAACGCUCGACAAUGGAGAGGGAAGGGAAGAUCAUAUACAUGUCAUAAGAAAGGGAGUUUAUUUACUGCUCCCUCGAUGUAUUGUUUCCUUUGUUUGGAGAUUGAUUACCAUCCGUGAGUUAAGGUAA